CUGAUUGUGUGUGAAAGAGCUGCUAUCUCUCUGCUCAGAGCCUCAAUCUUCUCCUUCAUCAUCUGACUCUUCAGCUCCUCUUCCUCCCUCAGAGCAGUGAUCCUGGCCUCCUCUUCCUCUUGUAGAAACUGAUGACACACACUGGCUGCUGAUGGUCCAGACAGAAGAGCUUCAGUUUCUCAGAGUGCAGACUGCAGAGAGGCUCAGACCCUGCUGAAGUUCUCUGAUCUCUCUCCAGUAAGAAGAUCUCACACAGGUUCUUCAAUGGCAAACAAAUAGGUGGCUCUGCCUUUGAUGAUCUUCUCUUACAAACUGGACACUCAUGUAUUAGUUUCUCUCUCCACCAGCUCUGCAGACAGUCUUUACAGAAGCUGUGGCUACAUGAC